AGUUAAACAGUACGUGAAAUUGUUGAAAGGGAAACGAUUGAAGCCAGUCGUACCUUCGGGUAAUCAGCCUUUCGGGUGCGAUUAUGUGGAGUGUGAGGAGCUUAACACCUUCAUGCUUUGCAUAUUCGUGCUCUUGGGUGUACUUGCUCGUAUGGUUGGUUAACAUCAAUUUUGGUGGUCAUAAAAUGACUGGAGGAAUGUAGCUUCGAUCUCGUAUUGAAGUGUUAUAGCCUUCGGUAGAUGUGAUGACUGAGAUUGAGGAUUGCAACGGAUACCCUUCGGGGCUACCUGUCUGAUCUCUGAUCGUUGCUCUGGUGCCGAAAGCUUGCUUACGGUUGUCAAAGUCGAUGGUCAAUAGGUUAGAAUGGGUUAAAUUCGUUAAGGAUGUUGACGUAAUGGCUUUAAA
rnacentral:misc_RNA from 1 species